rnacentral:sRNA from 1 species
GGUCUCUGGUUGUACCAUCUUUAUAUCCAACUGGAUUUCCACUCGACCAACAUCCAGUUGGAUGAUAUCACUAAAUCAAAGGAGGAACUCAAUUAUUUACCCCAGGAGUGGACGUGGGUCAGCUGGGCUAUUGCUGGUUUUCCAUUUAUUGGGAUUCUGCUUGGAGCCAUUCAUGCAUGUUUCUCUGCAUGUAAAGAUUCAUCUCAGGUAGGAAGCACUGCCUUAGUGGUCAUAUGUAUGGUCACACUUAACCAUACUGAAAACAUUUUUUUUAAUAU